ACCUGGCUGGCUUAGUUGGUAGAGCAUGUGACUUUUAAUCUCAGGGUUGUGAGUGCAAGCCCCACAUUGGGCA
rnacentral:tRNA from 1 species